rnacentral:rRNA from 1 species
UACGGGGGGGGCAAGCGUUGUUCGGAAUUACUGGGCGUAAAGGGCUCGUAGGUGGCCAACUAAGUCAUACGUGAAAUCCCUCGGCUUAACCGGGGAACUGCGUCUGAUACUGGUUGGCUUGAGUUUGGGAGAGGGAUGCGGAAUUCCAGGUGUAGCGGUGAAAUGCGUAGAUAUCUGGAGGAACACCGGUGGCGAAGGCGGCAUCCUGGACCAACACUGACGCUGAG